rnacentral:piRNA from 1 species
UUUAUUUCAAUCACUACUUUA